UACGAAGGGGGGCUAGCGUUGCUCGGAAUCACUGGGCGUAAAGCGCACGUAGGCGGAUUGCUAAGUCAGGGGUGAAAUCCUGGAGCUCAACUCCAGAACUGCCUUUGAUACUGGCGACCUUGAGUCCGGGAGAGGUGAGUGGGACUGCGAGUGUAGAGGUGAAAUUCGUAGAUAUUCGCAAGAACACCAGUGGCGAAGGCGGCUCACUGGCCCGGUACUGACGCUGAGGUGCGAAAGCGCGGGGAGCAAACAGG
rnacentral:rRNA from 1 species